rnacentral:lncRNA from 1 species
UUGGGAGCAGAUGAUAGUAGAGCCAUUGAGAUGGCAGGGUUCACAUUAAAAUGCAAGAAAGCCAGAGAAUGGUUCAAGAACUAUGUGGACCCCAGAAGAGACAGUAUGACAUGGGAAGAGUUCGCCAAUGAAUUUGCUGGGUGGGCUUUUCCUGACAGUUCCAGGGAGCUAAAGGUUGUGGAGUUCGAACAGUUGAGACAGACGGAGGAGAUGAGUGUUGAUGAGUAUUCAGAUAAGUUCCUGGAAUUGUUACCAUACGUGGGUCAGGCGUAUGAUACGGACCAGAAGAAGGCAAAGAGAUAUGCCACGA